rnacentral:rRNA from 1 species
CGGGGUGCACCAGGCGCGAAAACUCUACAAUGCAGGCAACUGCGAUAGGGGAACAUCGAGUGGUCCUCAUAUUGGGGGUCUGUCCCACCGUCUAAAAAACGGUGGUUAGCAAGGGCCGGGCAAGACCGGUGCCAGCCGCCGCGGUAAUACCGGCGGCUCGAGUGGUGGCCGAUAUUAUUGAGUCUAAAGGGUCCGUAGCCGGCUUUGCAAGUCUCUCGGGAAAUCCAGCGGCUUAACCGUUGGUCGUCCGGGGGGUACUACAUUGCUUGGGACUGGGAGAGGUAGGAGGUACUCAGGGGGUAGGAGUGAAAUCCUGUAAUCCUCUGGGGACCACCGGUGGCGAAGGCGUCCUACCAGAACAGGUCCGACGGUGAGGGACGAAAGCUAGGGGCACGAACCGGAUUAGAUACCCGGGUAGUCCUAGCCGUAAACGAUGCUCGCUAGGUGUCACAACAGUCGUGAACUGUUGUGGUGCCGUAGGGAAGCCGUGAAGCGAGCCACUUGGGAAGUACGACCGCAAGGUUGAAACUUAAAGGAAUUGGCGGGGGAGCACAAGGGCGAUUCGCG